rnacentral:rRNA from 1 species
GACAGAGGGUGCAAGCGUUGUUCGGAAUUACUGGGCGUAAAGCGCGUGUAGGCAGCUCGGCAAGUCGGGUGUGAAAGCCCUGGGCUCAACCUAGGAAGUGCACUCGAAACUUCCGAGCUGGAGUACUGGAGAGGAAGGCGGAAUUCUCGGUGUAGAGGUGAAAUUCGUAGAUAUCGAGAGGAACACCGGUGGCGAAGGCGGCCUUCUGGACAGUCACUGACGCUGAGACGCGAAAGCGUGGGGAGCAAACAGG